rnacentral:lncRNA from 10 species
GGGACUCUCUCUAAGACCCUGCUCUAUGCAGGGGAAGAGGAAGAAGAUGGUCUUAUCUUUCUGCCUCCAUUGUCUGUUCAUUGGGAGAUCUCUGCAAGGGUGUACCAUUCACUCAGCAAACACGAGUCAAUGACUCAGGUUGGUACAUGACCAGUGCCUGGGAAGCACCUUUCUUGAAGGCCUGGACUUAACCCAGAGAGCCCCACUUGAGGGGGCUGGGUGACCUCCCCUCCAGGACAGCCUGAAGCAAGAGGACACCUCCUUCUUCACACUUCCAGAGGUGAUGCUACUUGAUGGUGAAUUAUGACCUGCAUGUGGGCACUGCUGUGUGUGGCGGCAGCUCAGGCCUCCAGAUGAACAGAGUGGCAAGAACCCCCAGGAAAAUCAGCCCUACAGCCUUACCUUCCUGCUAGAGGAAGAAAGCUGGAGAUUGCUGAAAUGCGUCAUGUUAAGACACCCCCAGACCUCCCCUCGAGUAGAGUGCAAAACCCACUCAACCAGGAUUCCAGCCAGUGUGGAAAGAAUGACAAUACAGAAGAGAGAAGCUCAAAAGUGAACAUGAAGAAAGAACUUGGGGUGUGGGGUAGCUACAGGAAAAGUUCUUUGUGGGACAGAAUCCCCUCUUGGAAAGCCUUGGUGGCCUGAGCUCACAUCUGCAUCCCUACUGCCCGCUCCAUCCAGGAUGGGGUUCUGCCAGCCUCACCAUCACUUUGUGCCUGCCGAUGAGGUUGGGGGACUCGCAGAGCAGCUGGACAUCUGACACGGUCACGGUGCACGGCUUCUCCCCAACCAGCACAGUGUAGUUCAGCUUCACGUUGCCCCCAGCCACAGGCGGGAUCAGGUUCUUGCCCUGUACAAAUGGGAAAGCACCAGUUCCCACCCCAGAGUGAGGACCACAGCUACCAGCUGGCUCUCAUGUCCUCCCACCUGGAGGUCCCAUCCCGCUGGUGAGCUGGUGAAGAAGCCACCUUUGGUAAUAAGUGCAAAAAAUAUUCAUGGCAUGACUACCACCAUUGCCUCUUCCUCCCAGUGGCUAAUCAGUUAUCAAAGUACUCCUUUCAGCUUAUCCCAAAUGCAGCCUCAGAAUCCUUCUCAAUGCAGAGUUGGAGUCAGUCACUACCAAUUGAUUCAAAUUGUCAUAAGCUUUAAUUAACCUGUAACCCAUGUUCCAAAGGAAGCCCUAUGCUGUGGUUCGCACAAGGCUGCCUCAGAGGAAGCAGUGAGCCUGACCUGCCAGUACUUGGACUUUCAGGACAAUAAAAGCUUGAGAGUCAAAUAGCCAAGGUGGAUCUGCCUUCCCUGGGUAGAACCGGCCCCUAAAGAGAGUUUUCUUCCCAGUACAGACUCAGAGAGAACAUUUAUCACACUCUGGGCUACACUGCAACCUCUGCAAGAGAUGCUGGUUGAGAAAUGUGGCAGGAGUCUGUGACUUGAACACCCCCUUCCAUGCAGCAGCCCCUUCUUUUCCCACCCCCGCCUCCCACCACCCUCACUCCACCUUUAGGAUGAUGGGCGUGCCAGGCUUGAGCUCCAGGAUUCCUGAGGGACCAAAGGCCUCAAACACCGGGUUGGGAUAGUAGGUGAAGUUGG